ACUAACUGUUAGAGUUUCCGAUGAAUCAAUGAAUGUUUGAUUGCAGGAUAUGAUAAGAAGAACGAAAUACUCACUCUCGGAGCCUCCAAGCUGAGUGACUGCAUCAAUGAAGCGUUGGUGAAGCUCCGGAGUCCAUUUCAGUCUCGGCUUUGGAUCGCUGGAUAAAACCAGGGUCGAAGGAAUCAAAGAAUCUAUCUAUAGAUUUAAAGACAAAGUUGCCGUAUUUACGUUAUCAAGAAGUUCUGUAUGGGGAGAUAAGACUUUUUAAGAGCGUAGAAAAUCAAACAUUACAUUAUUUCACAACUACGUAUCCAUGGGCUGGCUAUCAUUAAUUCAUUAUUCCUACAUAUUACUGUUCUUUGUUCUGUUUUUUCAUGCUAUCAUCGGAUAGAAUUAAAGUAUAUUCCUCUAGCAUACUAUGUAAUACAUGUGAAGAUGGGGUUACAACUUAGAACAAAUGUAUUUCUAACAAGAAAUUCUAUACCCUUAGUUGGCUCUUUUCAUAUUUUGUUUGAUAAUAUUUCAGAUUAUUGGACUAAUCAUAGCUGACAAUUAAUGUAUUAAA